GACGAACGCUGGCGGCGUGCUUAACACAUGCAAGUCGAACGGAAAGGCCCUGCUUUUGUGGGGUGCUCGAGUGGCGAACGGGUGAGUAACACGUGAGUAACCUGCCCUUGACUUUGGGAUAACUUCAGGAAACUGGGGCUAAUACCGGAUAGGAGCUCCUGCUGCAUGGUGGGGGUUGGAAAGUUUCGGCGGUUGGGGAUGGACUCGCGGCUUAUCAGCUUGUUGGUGGGGUAGUGGCUUACCAAGGCUUUGACGGGUAGCCGGCCUGAGAGGGUGACCGGCCACAUUGGGACUGGGAUACGGCCCAGACUCCUACGUGAGGCAGCAGUGAGGAAUAUUGCACAAUGGGCGGAAGCCUGAUGCAGCAACGCCGCGUGCGGGAUGACGGCCUCCGGGUUGUAAACCGCUUUCGCCUGUGACGAAGCGUGAGUGACGGUAAUGGGUAAAGAAGCACCGGCUAACUACGUG
rnacentral:rRNA from 1 species